CUUACCCUCCACAAAAUUAAAAGGCAACUCAUCAAUUAUAACCAAUUUCACUAGUGCCUUUCUGCAUUCAUCAUAAUCAUAACCUAUUGCCUUAAGAGUUCCCACACUUCGAUCUCCUAAUUCACCCCCUACUUUAUUAGGUUCUAAUAGCAAAAAUUUUUGCUUCUUAUCAACCACAAAAGGAAACUUUUUGCAUACUUUCAAAUGACUCCACAUAUUACUUGUCCCAUUAAUAAUAGUAUGACAUGCAUAAUCCUUUCCACAAUAAUUACAUUCAGCU
rnacentral:lncRNA from 1 species